rnacentral:rRNA from 1 species
UACGUAGGGCGCAAGCGUUUGUCCGGAAUUAUUGGGCGUAAAGAGCUCGUAGGCGGUCUGUCGCGUCUGCUGUGAAAACUCAGGGCUUAACCCUGAGCUUGCAGUGGGUACGGGCAGACUAGAGUGCGGUAGGGGAGACUGGAAUUCCUGGUGUAGCGGUGAAAUGCGCAGAUAUCAGGAGGAACACCGGUGGCGAAGGCGGGUCUCUGGGCCGUAACUGACGCUGGAGGAGCGGAAAGCAUGGGGAGCGAACAG